GCCGGCCUCGGGCCUUUCCCUGCCGGAGUCGCUCCGCAGGCGCGCUCGCUGGCCGCUCCUAAAGAAUUUCUGCAAGUGAGCCUGGAGGCCACAGACUUCUCUGAGACAGUGAGGGAUUCCAUGUCAGCUUUCUGCUGCCCUCUGUGUGAAGGCUGCUAAGACUUCUAUGAAGAGGCUCAGAACCUCACAGGUCUGCCAGGAUGGCAUGUCAUCUUCAAGUUGCUGGGAGUCAGAGGAAUUGUUUGUCUUCUAUCAAGGGUUACCAGAGGAGACUUUCAACAAAGAAGUCAAUGCUAACUCAUUCUGAAAGUUGAAAUUAAUAUGGAGAACAUUUGUUUUAUUCUUUCAAUCAAAAUCUCAGUCCUUUUUUGAGCCUUGAAGCAGAAAUUAACUUUCAUCACUUUUGUUAAUUAAUCCACUGGUGGCCAGAGUGGAAUCCCAUGAAACUGCUUGUAUAUCUCCAAGAUCUAUGAUGCUAUGUGCCACUAGAGUGGGAAUAUAAAGACAAGCAGCAUGUCCUUCAGCUGAAGAGACAAUGAGUCCUUCAGUCUACUAUCCCUAAUUCAUCCACUGAAAAAUUAUUUUGUUACUAUCCCUUCCAAUUGCUGAGACAAAUACGCUUCUCACGAAUUGUACAUGGACUUCCAUCACAUAUGGCAUUGUUACUUCUACUUUUGGAAACCUUGAGACAGAAAGAUGAAUAUAACAUGGAUCAUUUAAAAACACCAACACUGAUGCUUUUCUUGUAUUUGAAAGGAAGGAGAAUUACAGUCAAAUGACAUGCCAAACUUAGAAAAUUAUGGUACAAUUUUUAUAUGUUGAAAGUGAUAAUUAUUGCUGCUACUACUGUUAUUUUAUUAUAUCAAAAGGAAGAGUAAAAAACAUUAGCUGGAUGUUUUGACAUAAUUUCCCAGAUAUUAUGAAUAUUUUUAAAUAAAAGGGGAAGGGUAACUUCAGUAAACAAUACUGGGAAUUGAGGUCCUUGUUCAAAUAACAUAAAAAGAUGUGCUUGACCUAACACGUGUAUUCAAUGGACUUCAAUAAAACUUAGUGUUUGUGUGCUUGUCAGAUCUGAGCCUUACAAACGGUUUGAGACAAUAUUGGUUUUCAUGUAUUAAAGUAAAUGGAAGAAAAUGAGACAACCUUUUGUCAGAGCUCAGUGCAGGUAAGGAAAAAAAGGGUAACACCAGCCAGCUAAUUUUUCUUUUUUUGUUGACUACUGUUAUCGCUGAUACUAGCAAGGACAAAUCACCAAGUCUUAAAAUUAGUUAUUGCCAGUUAAAUCAGAAUAAUUUCCAAACAGCUACCAUUUACAGAAAUAACAC